GACUGCUUUCUGCGCAUGCGUCGUGUCUCUAUAUCCGGGCGAGUCGCGGGCCCCUCCUUCUUUCGGUUCUGGGGUUGCGAGAUCCUUGACGACAUGAGAGCGAAGUGGCGGAAGAAGCGUAUGCGCAGGCUGAAGCGUAAAAGGCGAAAGAUGAGGCAGAGGUCCAGGUGAACAACUGCUGAAGAUGCAGUACUACUCGGGCUUUGUUGAAUCUUUACAUGGCAAAUGGACUCUGACGCUAUUUCUACAUCUUUCAUGAAGAUCUUCCGUUUUGGAGGCACUUCAGAUGCUGGUCAUGAGAAGAUCUUGAACAUUGGUCUGUUGUACUGUGCCUUUGUGUAUAGUAGUUGUGAAAUAAAAUACAAAAACUCAUUUGUA